UACGUAGGGACCAAGCGUUGUCCGGAAUCAUUGGGCGUAAAGCGCGCGUAGGUGGCCAUUUAAGUCCGCUGUGAAAGUCAAAGGCUCAACCUUUGAAAGCCGGUGGAUACUGGAUGGCUAGAGUACGGAAGAGGCGAGUGGAAUUCCUGGUGUAGCGGUGGAAUGCGCAGAUAUCAGGAGGAACACCAAUAGCGAAGGCAGCUCGCUGGGACGUUACUGACACUGAGGCGCGAAAGCCG
rnacentral:rRNA from 1 species